GAUGAACGCUGGCGGCGUGCCUAAUACAUGCAAGUCGAGCGAACGGACGGGAAGCUUGCUUCUCUGAUGUUAGCGGCGGACGGGUGAGUAACACGUGGAUAACCUACCUAUAAGACUGGGAUAACUUCGGGAAACCGGAGCUAAUACCGGAUGAUAUUUUGAACCGCAUGGUUCAAAAGUGAAAGACGGUCUUGCUGUCACUUAUAGAUGGAUCCGCGCUGCAUUAGCUAGUUGGUAAGGUAACGGCUUACCAAGGCAACGAUGCAUAGCCGACCUGAGCGGGUGAUCGGCCACACUGGAACUGAGACACGGUCCAGACUCCUACGGGAGGCAGCAGUAGGGAAUCUUCCGCAAUGGGCGAAAGCCUGACGGAGCAACGCCGCGUGAGUGAUGAAGGUCUUCGGAUCGUAAAACUCUGUUAUUAGGGAAGAACAUAUGUGUAAGUAACUGUGCACAUCUUGACGGUACCUAAUCAGGAAGCCACGGCUAACUACGUG
rnacentral:rRNA from 1 species